rnacentral:rRNA from 1 species
CGGACGGGUGAGUAAUGUCUGGGAAACUGCCUGAUGGAGGGGGAUAACUACUGGAAACGGUAGCUAAUACCGCAUAACGUCGCAAGACCAAAGAGGGGGCCUUCGGGCCUCUUGCCAUCGGAUGUGCCCAGAUGGGAUUAGCUAGUAGGUGGGGUAACGGCUCACCUAGGCGACGAUCCCUAGCUGGUCUGAGAGGAUGACCAGCCACACUGGAACUGAGACACGGUCCAG